rnacentral:rRNA from 1 species
GAUGAACGCUGGCGGCGUGCCUAAUACAUGCAAGUCGAGCGAACGGACGAGAAGCUUGCUUCUCUGAUGUUAGCGGCGGACGGGUGAGUAACACGUGGAUAACCUACCUAUAAGACUGGGAGAACUCCGGGAAACCGGAGCUAAUACCGGAUGAUAUUUUGAACCGCAUGGUUCAAAAGUGAAAGACGGUCUUGCUGUCACUUAUAGAUGGAUCCGCGCUGCAUUAGCUAGUUGGUAAGGUAACGGCUUACCAAGGCAACGAUGCAUAGCCGACCUGAGAGGGUAAUCGGCCACACGGGAACUGAGACACGGUCCAGACUCCUACGGGGGGACGCGGGAGGGAAUCUUCCGGAAUGGGCGAAAGCCUGACGUAGCAACGCGGCGUGAGUGAUGAAGGUCUUCGGAUGGUAAAACUCUGUUAUUAGGGAAGAAGAUAUGUGUAAGUGACAGUGCACAUAUUGACGGUACCUAAUCAGAAAGCCACGGCUAACUACGUG